GGCCAAUGAUAAAAAUAGCAAAUCUGAGUGUCAGAAGACCUUCCCUCUCUGGCUGCCUGAUCUCUAGUUCUGAGA
rnacentral:snoRNA from 1 species